rnacentral:rRNA from 1 species
UGGUGGAGUGAUUUGUCUGGUUAAUUCCGAUAACGAGCGAGACCUCAGCCUACUAAUUAGUAGUGACAAUCUCUGAUUGUUAACUACAUCUUAGAGGGACUAUCGGUGAGUAGCCGAUGGAAGUUUGAGGCAAUAACA